rnacentral:rRNA from 1 species
CACGUAGUUAGCCGUGGCUUCCUCCUUAGGUACCGUCAUUAUCGUCCCUAAAGACAGAGCUUUACAAUCCGAAGACCUUCAUCACUCACGCGGCGUUGCUGCAUCAGGGUUUCCCCCAUUGUGCAAUAUUCCCCACUGCUGCCUCCCGUAGGAGUCUGGGCCGUGUCUCAGUCCCAAUGUGGCCGAUCACCCUCUCAGGUCGGCUACGCAUCGUCGCCUUGGUAGGCCAUUACCCCACCAACUAGCUAAUGCGCCGCGGGCCCAUCUCAUACGCGGAUUGCUCCUUUGAUUAUCAAGUGAUGCCACUUAAUAAUGUUAUGCGGUAUUAAUCUCCCUUUCGAGUAGGCUAUCCCCCACUAUGAGGCAGGUUGCCCACGUGUUACUCACCCGUCCGCCGCUAGAUUGUUCCGAAGAACUCUCUCGCUCGACUUGCAUGUGUUAAGCACGCCGCCAGCGUUCAUCCUGAGCCAGGAUCAAAACUC